rnacentral:rRNA from 1 species
UACGUAGGGGGCAAGCGUUGUCCGGAUUUAUUGGGCGUAAAGAGCGUGUAGGCGGCCAGGUAGGUCCGCUGUGAAAACUCGAGGCUCAACCUCGAGAUGUCGGCGGAAACCAUCUGGCUAGAGUCCGGAAGAGGAGAGUGGAAUUCCUGGUGUAGCGGUGAAAUGCGCAGAUAUCAGGAAGAACACCCGUGGCGAAGGCGGCUCUCUGGGACGGUACUGACGCUGAUGCGCGAAAGCCAGGGGAGCGAACGGG